GUACACCUUUAGCCCAGUGAUAUGAAGAGUCUUGGUCUCUAUUGUUAUCUCCUAAAAUUUUCUUUGGAAAUCAAGAAUGAAAGGAGAACACUUCUAUUUAGGCCAUGUCUGCUCAAUGGCAGAAAGUUAACUGCCUUUCCUGUCAGAAACUAACUUAAAGGACUUUAAUUUUGUGCUGAAAACUGUAUUGAAGAAUGAAUUGCCGAGAAAACCGCAACCCAGAAUUCUUGUGGAUCAAGCCAGAUUGACUUAUCAUACCACCCAACGCUUUGUGGUGUACAGGGAGGAUACUUGUUUGAAUAAAACUUGUAUGUUCUUGUGAUUGUCAAACCAACCAGCGAAGGUGAUAGAAAUGGUCGCCUUCUCACAAUAGUAGCUAAAGAUGUGUUAAUUUUUUUUUUUUUUUGAGACGGAGUCUCGCUCUGUCGCUCAGGCUAGAGUGUAGUGGCGUGAUCUCGGCUCACUGCAACUCCGCCUCCCAGGUUCAAGCAAUUCCCCUGCCUCAGCCUCCCAAGUAGCUGGGAUUACAGGUGCAUGCCACCAUGCCCAGCUAAUUUUUAUGUUUUUAGUACAGAUGGGGUUUCACCAUGUUGGUCAUGCUGGUCUUGCACUCCUGACCUCGUGAUCCAAGAUGUGUUAAUUUUAGUUAGAACUACUUCAAAUACAUUUCACAGUUUUUACAAGAUGGAAAGUGCUUUACCAGAAAGUAUCUCAAUAGAGGAUUGGUUUUUGUUUGCUUUUUAAAACAUUGAUGCAUUAAUCAAGAAAAUUGUCAGGGUAACUUACAAAUUUUUGAUUUUUGAUGAUACAGCUAUAUAUGGUUUCAUUUGGUAUGUGAGUAGACACACAAAACAAAAAUACAGGUUUAGAGUUACACCUUGUAGUCAUCUUUUUAGGGGGAAGGAAAAAUUAAACCAAGAACAUUUCUUACACCAAAAUAAUCUCAAAUGAAAUUAGAUGAAUUUUCAUUAUACUUGGGAUGAGAUGACAAUAAACUAAAUCCUUCUGAUUUUGUUAUUUUUGGUUAUAUUUAUAAUUAUCAUUAGUUAGAUUCAAUUUAUUCAGCGUAUUUUCUGGCAUCCAUUUCUAUUAAAGAUUAAGAAUGCUGCUUCAAGGACUGAAUUAUGUAUCUUGCCAAAAUGUAAUUUUGAUUAUAAUAUUUAUCUUGUAUAUCCAAUGACAGAUAUAUUUGAAUAAAAAGCACCUGUAACAGUAAUUCUCACCCUAGUUGUUGGAGAGCAACACACUAGAAUCUCUUUGGGAACUUUUAAAACGUUGAUGCUCAGCUUCACUUGUCAUGAAUUAAGUCAGAAUUUCUGAGGGGAGGGACCAGCUACUGGCAUUUUUAUAAAAAGCUCCCCAAGUGAUUUUUAUGUGGUGUAGCCAGGACUGGGAACCAGAAAUCUGUGUAACACAAUGGUAAUUUUUUAAUACAUAAAUUAGCAGUUCACUAUAUUCAAGAUAAAAUGGUAACCAUUUUUGGUACAUCUCAUAAAUGUACAUCGUAUCAUUCUUGUUAUGAAGCUAUUUAGAUCAUCUGGGCAGAAUUUCACAUCAUCAGUCUCUUCUGUUCUUUUAAGCUCUCUAGUUAUUUCUCCAUUAUUUCCUUGAAGUCUUAAAAAAACUUUGAUUAUUAAGAAGGAAAAACUUCAUUGCCAUUUUAUCUUAAUAAUCAAACAUUUGUUUCAAAAGUGAUUUUCCUGUAUCACUAACAGUCUUGUGGUGAGAAUAGUAAGAUCAUAAUUUCCUGGAGUUUUGUGUUAUUUUCCCCAAAAUAAUAAAGCCCUCCUUCAACAUACAUACUGUUAGCAAAUAUUCUCUACUAACAUUCUGAUUUUAAUGUAAGCAAUAUUUGACUUUAUACUUUCAUAAUCAUUAGAUGUAAUUUUAUUGAUUAUUCAUCAGUAUCCCUUUCAACAUUCCCCAAUCCUAAAUAAGCAUGCAUUUCAGAAAAUUAUCCUAACUGUAUAAGUUCAAAGACUAAACUACAAUAAAUAUAUCACAUAAGAUUUCCUAUUCUGUAUAACUGUCCUUGGCAUUGAACUUCCUGCCUAUGACUUUAGGAUAUACUAAGAAGUCUAGGAAGACAACCUGAGCUGAAAACUAGGGUGUGUGUUUGUGUCUGGGUUGCUUUCAUUAAAUUAUGGAACAUUUCUCUUUCUCAAUUUGUUUGAACUGAAAAACUGGAUUAAAGACUUCCCAUCACCUAACUUCAGGUUUUUUUUCCCAGCCAAAAGACUAGUACCUUAGUGUUUGCCUCACUGACCAACCACUUUUUAAAUUUUGAUUCAUUUUAUUAAACUUUUUAUUUUGACCUAUUUUCGACAUACAGAAAAGUUGGAAAAAUUGUAUGAAAAAUUCGUUUAUGUCUCACCAGCUUACUUACCCUUAUAUGAACAUCUUACAUAACGAUAGCACAAUGGUCAAGAACAGAAAACUAACAUCAGUAUAAUAUUAAUUAUAGAUGUUUUUCCAAAUUUCACCAAUUUUUCCAUUAUCCUUUCUCUGUUGCAAGAUCCCACCUGGGAUCCCACAUUGCAUUUAGUUAAUUCUCCUUAGUCUCUUCCUGUCUGUAACAGUUUUUCAGCCCUUGGUUAUCUUUUAUCACUUGACACUUAUGAAGAGUAUUGAUCUGUUGUUUUGUUUUAGAGAUGAGGUCUUGCUGUGGUGCCCAGGCUGGAGUUCAGUGACCAGUCACAGGUGUGAUCAUAGCUCACUGCAGCCUCAAACUCCUGGCCUCAAGACAUCUUCCUGCCUCAGCCUCCCAAGUGGCUGGGACCACAGAGUGCAACAUGCCUGGCUGGAUCAUUUGUUCUAUAGAAUGUCUGCCAAUUUGAAUUAUUCUGAUACUUUCUCAUAAUUGGAAUGAAGUUAUGGAUUUUUGGCAAGAAUACCACAGAAAUGAUGUUGUGGUGUCCUCAGGGCAUCAUACUAAGGGGUUGAUAAUCUCUGUGUCUUAUUAUUGAUAUUUACUUUGAUUGCUUUGGUUAAGUGGGUGUCUGCCAUGUUUUUUACUAUAAAGUUACCAUUUUUCCCUUUGUAGUUAGUAUGUAUCUUAGGGAAAUAUGUUGAAACUAUGCAAAAUCUAUUCUCAAACUUUCAGCCACAAAUUUUUGCAUCCAUGAGAGUACCUUAUCUGUCUGUGACAGUUACUAUUGUGGUGGUUGCCUAAUGGCGAUUAUGGUUUUUUAUCUAAUACAUUUAUUUAAAUUCUACUAUGAGGAAGAGCCAUUUCUUUCCCUGUUUGUUCACUUAUUUUAUUAUUUAUAACAAUUUGGAACCAUAGAUAUUUAUUUUAUUCUAUGUGUUCAGUACUACCAUUAUUUACUUUGU
rnacentral:lncRNA from 10 species